AUUGAACGCUGGCGGCAUGCCUUACACAUGCAAGUCGAACGAGUGGCGAACGGGUGAGUAAUGUCUCGGAACCUACCGGGUGGAGGGGGAUAACUGCCCGAAACGGUAGCUAAUACCGCAUACCAUUAGAUGGGCCCAUGUCGGAUUCGCUGGUUGGCGGGGUAAAGGCUCACCAAGGCGACGAUCACUAGCGGGUCUGAGAGGAUGAUCCGCCACACUGGGACUGAGACACGGCCCAGACUCCUACGGGAGGCAGCAGUUGGGAAUUUUGGACAAUGGGCGCAAGCCGGAUACAGCCAUGCCGCGUGUAUGAAGAAGGCCUUCGGGUUGUAAAGGACUUUUGUCAGGGAGGCGGUACCUGAAGAAGAAGCACCGGCUAACUCCGUGCCAGCAGCCGCGGUAAUAC
rnacentral:rRNA from 1 species